rnacentral:lncRNA from 1 species
GGGAGUUGACUGCCGUUGAGCGGGUAGGAAAGUGCCUUCCAGGUACAGGCAGCAGGAGUGGUGAUUGUCUUGGUAGAGGAUGGGUGAACUGCAAAUAGAGUUGAAGGAGCUGGGCUGAGUAGUUGGGAUUUCACUCCCCGGGUGAUUGGUGGGACCCAGCAGGGCCAAAUCCUCCAGUGGGGCCUGAUGGGCAGAGGAGAGACUUGGACACCCUUAAGAGACGAAAUGAAUCUUCAGAGGUUCAGCCAUUGCUUGCAAUGUCAUCUUCUGGGCUCAUCCCUGCACUCCAACCCUGGACAUUUUCUCUGGUCUUUUCUAGUGGCCACCAUCUGGAUGAUUACGACUCUGGAAAUCUCUGUCCAUCAUCCAUUUUUUUGCCUCCUCUGUGAACGAGCAGGUGUGAUGGCCUGAAAACAGAGAGGGAGAAGGCUGAGUGUACCAGGGCAGGGGAAGCGCUUCCUGGAAUUACGUGUCCCAGGACAAAAGUGAAACUGCCUUCGCUGACUCAUAGGAAAGUUUGAAAAUAUCAUGUUUCGCCUAUGCCUGGGGGAUCUUUGUUUUUGGCAUAAGCCGAACAGAUUGUUCCAGGCCAGAAAAAAACUAAGCCAAACCAAAACAACAGAAUGACUUAAUUAUGUACCAGCACCCUUUAAAAUUAAUUAUGCUUGCUUUCUUUUUGUCCCCCUCAACUUUUAGUUUAAGUUCUGAGGCACAUGUGCAGGAUGUGCAGGU